GAUGAAGAACGCAGCGAAAUGCGAUACUUGGUGUGAAUUGCAGAAUCCCGUGAACCAUCGAGUCUUUGAACGCAAGUUGCGCCCGAAGCCAUUUGGCCGAGGGCACGCCUGCCUGGGCGUCAC
rnacentral:rRNA from 1 species